rnacentral:lncRNA from 1 species
GUGCUGUAUGAAGUGGCAUACUGUCUAUAUGCACAAACUAAAGCUGACUAUCUGUGUCCACGCAGUGAAGCCGGGUCAAUGUCCCAUACCGGAGACAAUUCCACUGUGUGCUGAAAGCUGUUUCCAUGAUGGCCAGUGUCCUGCCACAUGUUGCCCAACCACCGGUGGCAUUGCAUGCCGUGAACCACGUGGUCAGGGAAGAGGUCAGGCAAGUUGUCAGGAAAGCGGCCAUGGUCCGGGAAGCAGCCAGAGAAGUGGCCAGGGAAGUGGCGAGGGAAGCGGCCAGGGAAGCGGUUAUGGCCAGGGCAGCGGCCAGGGAAGCGGUUAUGGCCAGGGAAGCGGUUAUGGCCAGGGAAGCGGUUAUGGCCAGGGAAGCGGUUAUGGCCAGGGUAGCGGUUAUGGCCAGGGAAGCGGCUAUGGUCAGGGAAGUGGUUAUGGUCAGGGAAGUGGUUAUGGUCAGGGAAGCAGUCAGGGUCAGGGAAGUGGUUAUGGUCAGGGGAAUGGUCAGGGAUGUGGUCAAGGAAAUGGUCAAGGAUGUGGUCAUUGAAAUCAUCAUGGGACUUCUGCAUGACUCUUACUGGAGAACUUUUCAAUUCAGUGCCUUAUUCAUAUGGCAUGCUUUCCCUGUUUGCUCAAACAGUCUAGAAAGACUUUCUCAACUUUUUGUUAUUAUUAUUAUAUAAGCCUAUAAAUGCCGAGGUCCGGAUCUCACAGAUCUCAUUCUGGGAACGGCAGUGUGUUCAACUCUGUUUUUAUACAGUCUAUGGCAGAGUUCCUCAAAUCUUGCCCUGGUGGGCCAAUGCGCUGCAGAGUUUAGCUCCAACCCUGAUCAAACUCACCUACCUGUGAUUUUCUAAUGAUCCUGAAGACAUUGAUUAGCAUGCUCAGGUGUGUUUGAUUAGGGUUAGAGCUAAACUCUGCAGGAAAGUUUAUCUCGUGGGCCAGAUUUGAGGAUCCGUGGUCU